ACCCGCUGAACUUAAGCAUAUCAAUAAGCGGAGGAAAAGAAACCAACAGGGAUUGCCUUAGUAACGGCGAGUGAAGCGGCAAAAGCUCAAAUUUGAAAUCUGGCACCUUCGGUGUCCGAGUUGUAAUUUGAAGAAGGUAACUUUGGAGUCAGCUCUUGUCUAUGUUCCUUGGAACAGGACGUCACAGAGGGUGAGAAUCCCGUGCGAUGAGAUGUCUGAUUCUAUGUAAAGUGCUUUCGAAGAGUCGAGUUGUUUGGGAAUGCAGCUCUAAGUGGGUGGUAAAUUCCAUCUAAAGCUAAAUAUUGGCGAGAGACCGAUAGCGAACAAGUACAGUGAUGGAAAGAUGAAAAGAACUUUGAAAAGAGAGUGAAAAAGUACGUGAAAUUGUUGAAAGGGAAGGGUUUGAGAUCAGACUUGGUAUUUUGUAUGUCUUGCUUUCGGGUGGGGCCUCUACAGUUUACUGGGCCAGCAUCGGUUUGGACGGUAGGAUAAUGACAUUGGAAUGUGGCACCACUUCGGUGGUGUGUUAUAGACUUUGUUGAUACUGCCUGUCUAGACCGAGGACUGCG
rnacentral:rRNA from 1 species